rnacentral:rRNA from 1 species
UGCAGUCGACGAUGAUGCCCAGCUUGCUGGGCGGAUUAGUGGCGAACGGGUGAGUAAUACGUGAGUAACCUGCCCUUGACUCUGGGAUAAGCCUGGGAAACUGGGUCUAAUACUGGAUACUACCUCUUACCGCAUGGUGGGUGGUGGAAAGGGUUUUACUGGUUUUGGAUGGGCUCACGGCCUAUCAGCUUGUUGGUGGGGUAAUGGCUCACCAAGGCGACGACGGGUAGCCGGCCUGAGAGGGUGACCGGCCACACUGGGACUGAGACACGGCCCAGACUCCUACGGGAGGCAGCAGUGGGGAAUAUUGCACAAUGGGCGGAAGCCUGAUGCAGCGACGCCGCGUGAGGGAUGACGGCCUUCGGGUUGUAAACCUCUUUCAGUAGGGAAGAAGCGAGAGUGACGGUACCUGCAGAAGAAGCGCCGGCUAACUACGUGCCAGCAGCCGCGGUAAUACGUAGGGCGCAAGCGUUGUCCGGAAUUAUUGGGCGUAAAGAGCUCGUAGGCGGUUUGUCGCGUCUGCUGUGAAAGCCCGGGGCUCAACCCCGGGUCUGCAGUGGGUACGGGCAGACUAGAGUGCAGUAGGGGAGACUGGAAUUCCUGGUGUAGCGGUGAAAUGCGCAGAUAUCAGGAGGAACACCGAUGGCGAAGGCAGGUCUCUGGGCUGUUACUGACGCUGAGGAGCGAAAGCAUGGGGAGCGAACAGGAUUAGAUACCCUGGUAGUCCAUGCCGUAAACGUUGGGCACUAGGUGUGGGGGACAUUCCACGUUUUCCGCGCCGUAGCUAACGCAUUAAGUGCCCCGCCUGGGGAGUACGGCCGCAAGGCUAAAACUCAAAGGAAUUGACGGGGGCCCGCACAAGCGGCGGAGCAUGCGGAUUAAUUCGAUGCAACGCGAAGAACCUUACCAAGGCUUGACAUUCACCGGACCGCCCCAGAGAUGGGGUUUCCCUUCGGGGCUGGUGGACAGGUGGUGCAUGGUUGUCGUCAGCUCGUGUCGUGAGAUGUUGGGUUAAGUCCCGCAACGAGCGCAACCCUCGUUCUAUGUUGCCAGCACGUGAUGGUGGGGACUCAUAGGAGACUGCCGGGGUCAACUCGGAGGAAGGUGGGGAUGACGUCAAAUCAUCAUGCCCCUUAUGUCUUGGGCUUCACGCAUGCUACAAUGGCCGGUACAAAGGGUUGCGAUACUGUGAGGUGGAGCUAAUCCCAAAAAGCCGGUCUCAGUUCGGAUUGAGGUCUGCAACUCGACCUCAUGAAGUCGGAGUCGCUAGUAAUCGCAGAUCAGCAACGCUGCGGUGAAUACGUUCCCGGGCCUUGUACACACCGCCCGUCAAGUCACGAAAGUUGGUAACACCCGAAGCCGGUGGCCUAACCCCUUG